UUGAUCCUGGCUCAGAAUCAACGCUGGCGGCGUGCCUAACACAUGCAAGUCGAACGCGGUUAUCCAGCAAUGGAUGACUGAGUGGCGAACGGGUGAGUAUCACGUGGGUGACCUACCUUCGAGUGGGGGAUAACGUCCCGAAAGGGACGUUAAUACCGCAUAACAUCCUGCCUUUGAACAGGCGGUGAUCAAAGCCGGGUACCGUAAGGCCCGGCGCUUGAUGAGGGGCUCGCGUCUGAUUAGCUAGUUUGUGAGGUAACGGCCCACCAAGGCGACGAUCAGUAUCCGGCCUGAGAGGGUGGACGGACACACUGGGACUGAGACACGGCCCAGACUCCUACGGGAGGCAUCAGUGGGGAAUUGUUCACAAUGGGCGCAAGCCUGAUGACGCAACGCCGCUUGGAGGAUGAAGGUCUUCGGAUUGUAAACUCCUGUUGCCCGGGACGAAAUGCUUCGACCUAACACGUCGAGGUCUGACGGUACCGGGUGAGGAAGCCCCUGCUAACUCUGUGCCAGCAGCCGCGGUAAUAAGGU
rnacentral:rRNA from 1 species